UAAGGAAUAUUGGUCAAUGGACGCAAGUCUGAACCAGCCAUGCCGCGUGAAGGAUGAAGGUCCUCUGGAUUGUAAACUUCUUUUAUCUGGGACGAAAACGGGAUUUUUAUCUCAAUUGACGGUACCAGAGGAAUAAGCACCGGCUAACUCCGUGCCAGCAGCCGCGGUAAUACGGAGGGUGCGAGCGUUAUCCGGAUUUACUGGGUUUAAAGGGUGCGUAGGUGGGCUUAUAAGUCAGUGGUGAAAUCUCCGAGCUUAACUUGGAAACUGCCGUUGAUACUAUAGGUCUUGAAUUAUCUGGAGGUGAGCGUAAUAUGUCAUGUAGCGGUGAAAUGCUUAGAUAUGACAUAGAACACCAAUUGCGAAGGCAGCUUACUACAUAUAAAUUGACGCUGAGCCACGAAAGCGUGGGGAUCAAACA
rnacentral:rRNA from 1 species